GCGACCCCAGGUCAGGCGGGACC
rnacentral:rRNA from 1 species